ACAAGCGGAGGAGCAUGUGGUUUAAUUCGAUGAUACGCGAGGAACUUACCUGGGCUCGAACGUAAGAUGACUGUAGGUGAAAGCUUACAUCUCUUCGAAGCAUUUUACGAGGUGCUGCAUGGUUGUCGUCAGCUCGUGCCGUGAGGUGUCGGGUUAAGUCCCAUAACGAGCGCAACCCCUACCUUUAGUUGCCAUCAGGUAAUGCUGGGGACUCUAAAGGAACUGCCUACGCAAGUAGUGAGGAAGGCGGGGAUGACGUCAAAUCAGCACGGCCCUUACGUCCAGGGCUACACACGUGCUACAAUGGCCGAUACAGAGGGCAGCUACCUGGUGACAGGAUGCAAAUCUCCAAAGUCGGUCUCAGUUCGGAUCGGAGUCUGCAACCCGACUCCGUGAAGUUGGAUUCGCUAGUAAUCGCGCAUCAGCCAUGGCGCGGUGAAUACGUUCCCGGGCCUU
rnacentral:rRNA from 1 species